rnacentral:rRNA from 1 species
GAUCCUGGCUCAGGAUGAACGCUGGCGGCGUGCUUAACACAUGCAAGUCGAACGGACUUCAUAUGGAGCCUAGCGAUUAUAAAGUUAGUGGCGGACGGGUGAGUAACGCGUGAAUAACCUGCCCUGUACCGGGGGACAACAGUUGGAAACGACUGCUAAUACCGCAUAAGCGCACGGUUCCACAUGGAACAGUGUGAAAAACUCCGGUGGUACAGGAUGGAUUCGCGUCUGAUUAGCCAGUUGGUGGGG